UCGCUCAAACAGCCUGAGCGCGGAGACCUCCACUCUGCCUCGCGCCGCUCGCUGCCGUCCUCCUUGCCCGCGCCGCCGCUGCGAACUUGCUCUCACUUCCCGCCUCCCGGUGACCCUGCAGCCGCAGAUCCCUUCGUGCGCGCGCCCUCCCUCCUGCCCUACCUCCAUCCAGCACGUACAACUUGGAAGGGCGCCGCGCCGCCGCUACCAGCGAAAUUCUGAUAUAAACUUGCAAGCUUGUUUUAUUCUUUCUCGUUUUUAACUCUCAGAAGCUUGGUCUAUGAAGUGUAAUCUUUUUGCGGGAUCUUCCUUCUUUGACUGGUGCCAUCAAUGCAAAGACGGGUUGGGAUUCAUCGUCUAUGCACCGAGCAGUGCCAGGGUUCCUGCGUCGAGCCCUUAUAAACAGAAAUCAUCCCCCGGUAUUGUGCCUUUCCUCUCUGGCUUGUAGCUUUAAGAGCUUGGAUAAUCAAGAACCCAGUCGAAGCUCUUUUUGCAGCGAGUAUAGAAACCGGUGUAUUCAUCCUUUGAUCGCACUAGCAGUCCGGACAUCGAAUUUGGAUCAGGCCAGAAAGAUUACCUUCAGGGAGUGUGUCAGGUUAUAUGGGCUAUCCCAGUCAGUUGGGUUGUUUGCAUUGCUUAUGCGGUCAUUCUUGCCGCAUGGAAUCACAGACAUCCGGUGCUUGAUUCAGAGCAUUGUUGAUUACUGCGGGGAUGCUGGGCCAGAGUUGUUUGAGUUGGCACCUAUGUUGGUCAGCAACAUGGGUGGGUCGAUGACAUUGCUACAAGUUUAUGCCACAAUCAUUUGGAUUUUUGUAGAUCUGUCAAUGUUUGAGGAUGCUCUUCUCACUUACAUUGAGGCCAAGAAGGUUGGAGUUGAGUUGCGGGUGUGCAACUUCUUACUGAAGAGCUUAGUUGUAAAGAAACAAAUCUUGCACGCAAGGAGUUUGUUUGAUGAUAUGAAGAGUUCUAGUCCUUCACCAAAUGUCUACUCUUAUUCAGUUUUGAUGAGUGCGUAUACCCAUGGAGAUAAGUUAUGCUUGGAGGAAGCCUUUGAGCUUCUUCGUGAAAUGGAAACAAAAGGUGUGAGGCCGAAUGCUGUAACAUUUGGUACUUACCUCUAUGGGCUAUGCCGUGCCAGACAGGUGACAUCUGCAUGGAACUUUCUUCAAAUGAUUUGUCAGAGAGGCGACCCUUGCAACAUUUACUGUUUUAAUGCAGUGAUUCAUGGUUUCUGUCACGAGGGUCAGCUUAAAAAAGCAAUAGCGGUGUUUGACGUGAUGAAGAAGGGUGGGUUUGUCCCAGAUGUCCAUAGCUACAGCAUAUUAGUUGAUGGGUUAUGCAAAAAAGGGGAUCUGUUGACAGGCUAUUACAUGCUUGUUGAAAUGGCAAAGACUGGAAUUGCCCCUACUCUGGCAAGUUACAGUUCACUUUUGCAUGGUCUUUGCCGAGUUGGAAAUAUUGAAUGGGUGUUUGAGCUUUUUAAGAGGCUCGAAGAGCAUGGUUUCAAGCCUGACCACAUAGUGUACAGCAUUGUUCUUCAUGGCUGUUGCCAACAUUUGGAUCUAGACGUUACCUGUGACCUUUGGAAUGACAUGGUUCAUCAUAAUUUUGUUCCAGAUGUCUACAAUUACACUAGUCUGAUAUUUGCAUACUGUAGACAUGGGGACCUUGAAGAAGCAUUGAGUGCAUUUGAGCUCAUGCUCGAUAAUGGGAUAAGUCCAAACAUUGUGACCUGCACAAUUCUUGUCAAUGGCUUCAGUAACAAAGGCCGGAUUGCUGAAGCCUUCACAUUCCUGGAUAAAGUGCGCCAGUUUGGAAUUUUCCCCAACCUUUGUACAUACAGGGUUAUCAUCAAUGGCCUGUUUAAGGUCAACAAAUCUGAUGAUGUAUGGGGAAUUUUCGGGGAUAUGAUAAAAAGGGGUUAUGUUCCUGAUACUGUGAUUUACAGUAUUAUUAUUGAUGGUUUUGUGAAAGCUUUGGAUCUGCAUGAGGCUUUCAGGUUGUAUCAUAAAAUGGUGGAUGAGGGGACAAAACCUAAUAUCUUUACGUAUACUAGCCUGAUAAAUGGUAUGUGCCAUGAUAAUAGACUUCCGGAAGUUAAGACAUUGUUUAAUCAUAUGAUUGGGAAGGGUAUAAAACCGGACAUGAUUUUAUAUACGUCUCUAAUUGCAUGCUAUUGUAAGCGCUCAAACAUGAAGGCAGCUCUGGAAAUAUUCAGAGAGAUGGAAAAGGAGGGUUUGCCUGCAGAUGCUUUUGUUUAUACUUGUUUAAUUGGUGGAUUCAGUAAAGUACUUGCAAUGGAUGGUGCAAACAUGUUGAUGGAAGAAAUGAUAAAUAGGGGUCUUACACCUACUGUAGUAACUUAUACAGAUCUCAUAAUAGGAUACUACAAAACUGGAGAUGAGAGGAAAGCUAAGAUGAUGUACAAGAGUAUGCUCCAGGCAGGCAUUACACCGGAUGCCAAGAUGAUGUGUAUACUGGGAUUUGACAGUUGUGAAGAUGAUUUUGAGGAUUCUCCGGAAGAUAAGGGUGUAGCAUAGGUUUUCACAUAGAGAUAUAUAUUAACUUGGUCAACACAAUAAUUUCAUAAUGCUGAUGAGCUCUAUUAAUCAGUCAAGCUGAACCUAGCCCUUUUGGGUUGGCGGUGCUGAUGUAACUUCAUUGCUAUUAUGUCCACGAAGUGAAUGAGAAUUUCCAAGGAUCGAGCUAUUUCUUGUUCACGAGGUUUUCAAGAAGUUCCUGUGCAGUGCACUACCUUGAAGUCAAGGUAUGAUUAGUUUCACAAUUAUGUUCUUGUAUUUCUUAUUUUUCUUUGCAAGUUUGGUUGAGUAUCAACUGAAAAGUUCACAUGCAUCCAUCAACACCAACUUUGCUGGUAUGCAAUGUACAUCCACCCCAUUCACAGCCACCUUACUAAGGAAGUAAACAGAGGAAAGAAGCAGAAAACCAUUACAGGACACCACACACAUUGACUGUUAUAGUCCCUCACUCCUUGCCCUAGCCUGAUAAUUUGAUUUUCGUGGACGUCCUGGUCGCAGGUAUUGUCGCCGGAUGGAAAGCAGAUUGUUUUCCCCAUGUUAUUGUGGUGCUCUACCGUUGCGAUUCAUAGGGCAGGAACUUCUUAAUGUUCCAUGCGAUCUGCCUGUAAUUUGUUUGUCCCCUUGACAUCUGCUCUGAAUUUGUCCCUGUAAUUGUAAAGCUACAUAUCAGUACUAAUUCAGAAAUCAUAGUUUGGCACAACGCAUAUUUAUAUUACUCACCUGAUAGUCAUUAAUUUAUGUAAAUUGUAAGUAGUUCACACAUAAAAAGGAUUCCGUGGUCAUAGACACACUUAUCAACAGUAUUAAAUUCUGGAUUGUUUUCUAGAUAAGCUGAUUGUGGGUUGCAACAUACAUGAGAUUCUAUACGAAAGAAGGUUGGUCUAAUAUGAAUUUUUAGGCCGAACAAAAACCAUCCUUGGUUAAUAUUGCAGGUAUUUGUUUUUCAGCAGUGAUGUUCUUGAUAGCUCGAGCACCAAGGGUGUUAAGGUUAGUAUUCGCUCACCAUAGCCAACAAGAAGGUCUUAAGUUCAGUAUUUGCUUGUGAUGGCUAAGAAGAAGCGACGUGAAGAAGGUUUAGUAGGUGGAACUAAAACUAAGCAUCUAUCAUACUGUAGGUUAGCAUAUACACGCCUUCUAUAUUCUAUGGAAUGUCGCCAUCUUAUUGGAACACUAAAAGUAGGAAACUCUACUAAAGUUUGAAUGUUAGUUUAAACUAAUAAGUGGGGCCUACUGAUACAUGCAUCAGAAUGAUGCAUUUUUACCGCAAAUUGUUGCUGCCUAUUCAUCCUCCUUAAUGUACAGAGCGAAUAUUUUGCCACAAUGCCAACUUCUAUUCAAUAACAUAUCUAAUAGGGGGGCCUUGGCCUUCUUCAGAUAAUUGCCACAAGAGGAGAACAGAUGUUUGAUAAUAAGAGAACAACACCAUGAAAACUUGUCCUCCGUAAUAUAUAAACAAGGUGUUUCACAAAAUUAAAUCAGUUGUUACUUGUUAGAUUGAUGUUGGUCGUUUUUUUCGAGAGAAGUACCCAUUACAUAAUCCCUUAUGGUAACUUCGAACGUGCUACCUUCAUUUGAGAACUAUAUAAUUUGUUGCCAUAUGUAUGAUAUGCACUUUCUUGGUACUGUGCUCUUUUUUUUAUACAAGUUUGUGUCUAUUUCCUUGAGUAAUUUUUCUCUGCUAGAAUAUGGUAAUUAACUGCUGGACCCUAAUAUAGACUGGAUAUGUAUUCCUUUCCAUAUCAUUGUUCGAUCGAAAAUGACUUAAAUAUGCCUGUUGGUUUAACAUUUUCUCUUGGGGUGAUUGCAGAAAUCCAAGUAUACAUGUGAUUUAGACUUACUGUGGUAGAUUCAUGAGAUGAUUCCGUAUUUGUUGAUGUUACAAAUGUUGAUGGGGCAAUUAGUGUGAAUAUACAACCGAUCAUACUAUUCUAAAUCAAGUAACAUGUGCAUAUUUUUGUUCCCUGUUUUGGUUAUUUUCUAACUACCAAUCCACUUAUGAAGUCAAGUGAUAUAUAGUGAAACUGAUUUGGCAUUUUUUUCCAGGCCUACUGGAUGUACUAAAAUCAGCUGAUUUAUUUUAUGUCCUUUGGGUGAGAUCUCAAAUGGAUUGUAGCCUGUCUAUUUUUUUUUAUCGUUAGCCAAAAUAUAUUCAUCUUCUUUUCCAGUACAUUUGAGAAGGGUUAAAUGACUUAGUUGGAAUUAAUGUGUUGUUCCAGUAGAGGGCUUCAGAAUGGAUAAGUCAGUUUGUUUGUGCCUAUAUCAUAUAUGUACAAGGUAACAUAAGCUACACAAUGAUCUUUUAAGAAUAAUUUCUUUAUAAUAUCUGGAAUUGAUAAAUGAAGAAUUA